rnacentral:rRNA from 1 species
AUUGAACGCUGGCGGCAGGCCUAACACAUGCAAGUCGGACGGUAGCACAGAGGAGCUUGCUCCUCGGGUGACGAGUGGCGGACGGGUGAGUAAUGUCUGGGGAUCUGCCCGAUAGAGGGGGAUAACCACUGGAAACGGUGGCUAAUACCGCAUAACGUCGCAAGACCAAAGAGGGGGACCUUCGGGCCUCUCACUAUCGGAUGAACCCAGAUGGGAUUAGCUAGUAGGCGGGGUAAUGGCCCACCUAGGCGACGAUCCCUAGCUGGUCUGAGCGAAUGACCAGCCACACUGGAACUGGAACACGGUCAAAACUCCUACGGGGGGCAGCAGUGGGGAAUAUUGCACAAUGGGCGCAAUCCUGAUGCAGCCAUGCCGCGUGUAUGAAGAAGGCCUUCGGGUUGUAAAGUACUUUCAGCGGGGAGGAAGGCGGUGAGGUUAAUAACCUCACCGAUUGACGUUACCCGCAGAAGAAGCACCGGCUAACUCCGUGCCAGCAGCCGCCGUAACAC